UACGUAGGGGGCAAGCGUUGUCCGGAAUUAUUGGGCGUAAAGGGCUCGUAGGCGGUUUGUCGCGUCGGGAGUGAAAUCCUACGGCUUAACUGUGGGCUUGCUUUCGAUACGGGCAGACUAGAGGUAUGCAGGGGAGAACGGAAUUCCUGGUGUAGCGGUGAAAUGCGCAGAUAUCGGGAGGAACACCGGUGGCGAAGGCGGCAUCCUGGACCGAGAUUGACGCUGAGGCGCGAAAGCCAGGGGAGCAAACGGG
rnacentral:rRNA from 1 species